rnacentral:lncRNA from 1 species
AAUUUUAUUUGACAGAAACAUGAAGAAAUUGUAUUGUAGAUAGAUUUUUAAGCAAUAAACGUGAACCAAUAGUUCUUGCAGAUUUUUCAUUCUAUUAUAUAUCAAUUCUAAUCUGAUGUCCUUAAUAGUCAUUUUUCAUUCUUACCUCACCGCUACAGCUGCGUUUGAAUCCAAACACACACUCCACUAUUGUUUCUAAUCUCACCGCUACAGUAACUAAUCUCACCGCCAUCGCUGUUUUUAA